rnacentral:rRNA from 3 species
UGGGGAAUAUUGCACAAUGGGGGAAACCCUGAUGCAGCCAUGCCGCGUGUGUGAAGAAGGCCUUCGGGUUGUAAAGCACUUUCAGUAGGGAGGAAAGGGUGAGUCUUAAUACGGCUCAUCUGUGACGUUACCUACAGAAGAAGGACCGGCUAACUCCGUGCCAGCAGCCGCGGUAAUACGGAGGGUCCGAGCGUUAAUCGGAAUUACUGGGCGUAAAGCGUGCGCAGGCGGUUUGUUAAGCGAGAUGUGAAAGCCCUGGGCUCAACCUAGGAAUAGCAUUUCGAACUGGCGAACUAGAGUCUUGUAGAGGGGGGUAGAAUUCCAGGUGUAGCGGUGAAAUGCGUAGAGAUCUGGAGGAAUACCGGUGGCGAAGGCGGCCCCCUGGACAAAGACUGACGCUCAUGCACGAAAGCGUGGGGAGCAAACAGG